rnacentral:lncRNA from 1 species
UCCAGAGGGGAAAUGGGGACCGACUGCUUACAGCACAAUACAGUGGGAAAACCAGGGGUUUGAAUCCUGGUUCAGCAACUUUGGGAAGGUACUUCACCUUUCUAAGCUUAAAUUUUCUCACUUAUAAAAUAAAAAUGACAAUCACCUGUCUUUUGUGGAGGUGCUGGGAGGAUCAGCAAAAGUGUUCCAAGAUGCCACACACUGCGUGGGCACUGAGAACACAAACACACUCCACAAGCUCGGAGCUUUGGACCAGUAACAGAAGAUUGACAGCUCAAUUACAAUACAGUGUGCUCUAGAGUAAAACAGGAAAAAAGGUCUCCCCGAAUCUGCUUCCAGACUCCCUCACUUGGACAGAAGCUAGAGGAAGCCUAGUACUGGGGAAAGAGAACCCAAGCUUCUUCCCUUUCCACUGUCCCAGAAGCCAACCCGUCCCUCUGUCCGGUACACAUUCGACACUGGAGCCGUGGAUUCUUCAAACAACGUGGAAGCACCCCAGAACAUAGAGUGAGCUGAGUUCUGCAAAGGAAGGAACGUUCUGUCCGACUAAAGAUGCUGGAAAGGACCUGGGGGACAUUCUGCCAGAAUUUCCCCCUCUUGGACUGACUUUUUUGUGUAGAUUAACUUUCUCUUCACCCUGGGCUCCUCAUAAAUUCUAAAUUAUUUUAUUCCACUCCCAACUGAAUACGGGAGGAGAAAGGGAAUUUGGUCUUCAAGAUUUGUUCUUCUAGUAUCUAAUUAAGAAGAGAAAGUGAAACAUAAAGCCAGAGAGCUGAAAAUAGCCACGAGAAAGGGCAUGAGCCUGUCUGUCAAUACACACAUGCCGAGCUCCUACCCCCACAGAGAUCGUGCUCAGCAGAGGCCUUCUGAGAAGCAGGAGAAAAAAGGGAGGCUGUCUUUUCAGAUUUGUGAACAACUGCCCUAAGGAGCAAGAAAAUACCAUGAGAAACAAGCUCAGCAUUAGGCCCUGGCCGUGGAGGGGUUAUCAUUGGUCUGCUUCUGUCCUUUCCAGCAAAGACUGAGGAAAAGAAGUGAAAGUGUUGGCAGUUCCCAAGCCAGGGAAAACCACAAGAAGUAAAUUAGGUAGUGGGCUACAAGCCACUUCCCAGGAACCCCAUCUUGGUUAGUGAUCAUUUUGGUUGAUUGUCUUUUUUUAAGAGAGAGAGUUAAUAGAGUGAGAGAGAGAUAAGCUGCCAUCUGUCAGAAGUGAUUUUUUUUUUCCCGGCAGGAGCAAGAGGUUAACCAGAGAUAAUGGUUCCUCUUGGCCAAGAUCUGUCUUUUCUCCCCAUACUCCCUCCAGAGAAGCUGGUGGUGGCACCUCCAGAGCUGUGCCAGCCAGUACAGUCACCACAAGCCACCUGUGGCUCUUGAACACUUGAAAAGUGGCUGUAGGUGUUAAAUGUGCAGCAAAUAUAAAAUACACACAGGAUUUUGAAGGCUUGGUAUGAAAAAAAUCUCAUUAAUAACAUGUAAUUGAUUUACAUGUUGAAAUAGUAUUUUGGAUAUAUCAGGUUAAAUAACAUUUAUUAUUAAAAGUAAU